UGGCUCAGACGGUAAAAGUGUCUGCCUACAAUGCAGGAGACCCGGGUUCGAUCCCUGG
rnacentral:tRNA from 1 species